CCUACGGGAGGCAGCAGUGAGGAAUAUUGGUCAAUGGGAGGAAUCCUGAACCAGCCAUGCCGCGUGCAGGACGACGGCUCUACGAGUUGUAAACUGCUUUUGUACCGGGGUAAAAUGCCUUACGUGUAGUGUUUUGAAAGUACGGUACGAAUAAGGAUCGGCUAACUCCGUGCCAGCAGCCGCGGUAAUACGGAGGAUCCGAGCGUUAUCCGGAUUCAUUGGGUUUAAAGGGUGCGUAGGUUGUUUUAUAAGUUAGCGGUGAAAUACCGAUGCUCAACAUCGGGGCUGCCGCUAAUACUGUAGAACUAGAGAGCGGAUGCAGCAGGCGGAAUGUGUAGUGUAGCGGUGAAAUGCAUAGAGAUUACACAGAACACCGAUUGCGAAGGCAGCUUGCCAGUCUGGAUCUGACACUGAUGCACGAAAGCGUGGGGAUCGAACAGGAUUAGAUACCCGAGUAGUC
rnacentral:rRNA from 1 species